GACGAACCGUCCAAACGUUAUUCGGAAUUACUGGGCUUAAAGGGUGCGUAGGCGGCGCGGAAAGUUGGGUGUGAAAUCCCUCGGCUCAACCGAGGAACUGCGCUCAAUACUACCGUGCUCGAGGGAGAUAGAGGUGAGCGGAACUUAGGGUGGAGCGGUGAAAUGCGUUGAUAUCCUAAGGAACGCCGGUGGCGAAAGCGGCUCACUGGAUCUCUUCUGACGCUGAGGCACGAAAGCUAGGGUAGCGAACGGG
rnacentral:rRNA from 1 species